rnacentral:rRNA from 1 species
UACAGAGGGGGCAAGCGUUAUUCGGAAUUAUUGGGCGUAAAGGGCGCGUAGGCGGCUUGGCAAGUGGAUGGUGAAAUCCCUCGGCUUAACCGAGGAACUGCCAUCCAGACUGCUUUGCUUGAGGCCGGGAGAGGGAUGCGGAAUUCCAGGUGUAGCGGUGAAAUGCGUAGAUAUCUGGAGGAACACCGGUGGCGAAGGCGGCAUCCUGGACCGGCAUUGACGCUGAGGAGCGAAAGCCAGGGGAGCAAACGGG